rnacentral:lncRNA from 1 species
CAGAAAUAGGAAUUGCUGGGCUAGUGAAUCUGCUCAGAGGUGUGCAGGUCCCCGUGUUCCAUCCAGAACUGUGCGAGACACAGAAAAGCAGCAAAACAACUUUUGUGGUGGCACACACCUUUGAUCCUUACAUUCCGGAGGUAUUUCAUUGUAACAUAAUUUCAUAGCAGAGCUAUGCAAAAGAUCGUACAUCACAAAUGUCACCAAGAGAUUUUACAUACUUCUGGGCAGGACAUGUGGCUUUGGAGCUCCCAGUGUUGACACCCAACAUUUUACCCCUUGUCUACUAGUACAGAAAGGAGAGAUGUCAUCACACAAGAGUGAAACUGCAUGAAGGCAGCAUCUGCUCUCAGACAGUGUAAAUGCGGAAAUUUGGAGAAUUUCAAUUCUUCAUGAGCCCAGGCAGAGG